rnacentral:tRNA from 1 species
GCACGAGUGGCUCAGUGGUGGAGUAUCGCCUUGCCAAGGCGAAGGUCGCGGGCUCGAACGGUUCGAAGUCCA